GAUGAAGAACGUAGUGAAACGCGAAAGGUAAUGCGAAUUGCAGAAUCAGUGAGUCAUCGAAUCUUUGAACGCACCUUGCACCCUUUGGCAUUCUGAAGGGUAUGCUCGUUUGAGUGUCAUUGUACUCUCACACUCCCGAUCUUUGCAUUGGGAGCAGUGGACUUGGGUUUGCUGCUUCACCGUCGCUUACCUCAAAUAGGUUAGUGCAACUCUUGGUUGGACAUAGUACGGCGUGAUAAGUGUUCUUCGCCGGUGCCUCGCAAAGAGGGUGGCCGAUCGGGAUGUUGUGCUCCAAACCGUCUUCGGACAAUCUCUGACGACUUGACCUCAAAUCGAGUAAGACUACCCGCUGAACUUAAGCAUAUCAAUAAGCGGAGGA
rnacentral:misc_RNA from 1 species